GUUCACCCCUCUGGUUUAUUUGGAGAUGCUGUGCCUGAAGCAUGGGAAAUCCCAGCACCAGAAGUACGCCCGGCCAGGCAGUUGGGAGAGGAUGUGGUUGGCUGCCCUCCCAGGUGCGCAGGUGGCAGGAGGGGUGUGUUCUCAGAAGGAUGUCAGAAAAAUGAAAACCUCGGGGCCCAAUGAACUGUGCGCUGCAUUGACUCAGGAGGAACGAGCUGUGGGACAGCGUGGUGGAGAGCAAGUAGACAUAUUCACUUACCUUCCAUGAGCAGGAGGGAGAUCAAGAAGUAAAGGCCAUAACUGAAGAGAAGAGACUGAAGAACCAGCAGCUGCAGAGCCUCGUAUCUGUAAGGUAACAACGGCUCCUGGAGUAGCUGCUGCAUCUCCUCUUGGACUAUGGGGAGAGCUUGCACCGAAGGAGAAGGGGAGUGGAUUUUGCCCUCUGUGUCAUCUGCC